rnacentral:rRNA from 1 species
GAUGAACGCUGGCGGCGUGCCUAAUACAUGCAAGUCGAGCGAACAGACGAGGAGCUUGCUCCUCUGACGUUAGCGGCGGACGGGUGAGUAACACGUGGAUAACCUACCUAUAAGACUGGGAUAACUUCGGGAAACCGGAGCUAAUACCGGAUAAUAUGUUGAACCGCAUGGUUCAAUAGUGAAAGACGGUUUUGCUGUCACUUAUAGAUGGAUCCGCGCCGCAUUAGCUAGUUGGUAAGGUAACGGCUUACCAAGGCAACGAUGCGUAGCCGACCUGAGAGGGUGAUCGGCCACACUGGAACUGAGACACGGUCCAGACUCCUACGGGAGGCAGCAGUAGGAAAUCUUCCGCAAUGGGCGAAAGCCUGACGGAGCAACGCCGCGUGAGUGAUGAAGGUCUUCGGAUCGUAAAACUCUGUUAUUAGGGAAGAACAAAUGUGUAAGUAACUAUGCACGUCUUGACGGUACCUAAUCAGAAAGCCACGGCUAACUACGUG